rnacentral:rRNA from 1 species
UACAGAGGGUGCAAACGUUGCUCGGAAUCAUUGGGCGUAAAGCGCACGUAGGCGGCCCAGCAAGUGGGGAGUGAAAGCCCUCGGCUCAACUGAGGAAGUGCAUCCGAAACUGGCAGGCUAGAGUACUAAAGAGGGUCGCGGAAUUCCCGGUGUAGAGGUGAAAUUCGUAGAUAUCGGGAGGAACACCGGUGGCGAAGGCGGCGACCUGGGUAGAUACUGACGCUGAGGUGGCGAAAGCGUGGGGAGCAAACAGG